AUUGAACGCUGGCGGCAGGCCUAACACAUGCAAGUCGAGCGGAUGAAGGGAGCUUGCUCCUGGAUUCAGCGGCGGACGGGUGAGUAAUGCCUAGGAAUCUGCCUGGUAGUGGGGGAUAACGUCCGGAAACGGGCGCUAAUACCGCAUACGUCCUGAGGGAGAAAGUGGGGGAUCUUCGGACCUCACGCUAUCAGAUGAGCCUAGGUCGGAUUAGCUAGGUGGUGGGGUAAAGGCCUACCAAGGCGACGAUCCGUAACUGGUCUGAGAGGAUGAUCAGUCACACUGGAACUGAGACACGGUCCAGACUCCUACGGGAGGCAGCAGUGGGGAAUAUUGGACAAUGGGCGAAAGCCUGAUCCAGUCAUGCCGCGUGUGUGAAGAAGGUCUUCGGAUUGUAAAGCACUUUAAGUUGGGAGGAAGGGCAGUAAGUUAAUACCUUGCUGUUUUGACGUUACCAACAGAAUAAGCACCGGCUAACUUCGUG
rnacentral:rRNA from 1 species